rnacentral:rRNA from 1 species
AAACCUGCGAAACUCGAAUGAACGAAAGGAGAGAUUCAUCGUCCGUCCGCGGCGUACCGGCGCGCCGCACGAUGCCCGCGCGCCUCGGCGCGCGAGCACUGCGCGCACCGGUCGACGCUCGCGGACUGCGUGCACUUCUCUCUCAGUAAAACAUCGCGACCCGUUCGCGAUCCGGUCUGAGCGCGAUCCGGGAGCCUGGCGGCGGCGUCUAAACAACGCGAGCCGCCAGACCGCGAUCGUCCCUGCCGACCGGUCGCGGACGGUAGUCAUUAAUGUGGAGGAAACGCGCACGCGCCGUUUACGGGCGCGUCGGGCCCGACGCGAACGUGCACCGUCGACCGUGUCCUGCCUAUGUGCGGACACGGACGCGGGGCCGUUGUCGUCGCAGCCGUGAUGUCUCCGACCGUGCGCGUCUCAGUCCGCGAUGUUACAGUUUCGGGCACUCGCAGGAC